rnacentral:rRNA from 1 species
UACGGGGGGGGCAAGCGUUGUUCGGAAUUACUGGGCGUAAAGGGCUCGUAGGCGGCCAACUAAGCCAGAUGUGAAAUCCCCGGGCUUAACCUGGGAAUGGCAUUUGGGACUGCAAGGCUCGAGUGCGGCAGAGGAGACUGGAAUUCCUGGUGUAGCAGUGAAAUGCGUAGAUAUCAGGAGGAACACCGAUGGCGAAGGCAGGUCUCUGGGCUGACACUGACGCUCAUGCACGAAAGCGUGGGGAGCAAACAGG